rnacentral:tRNA from 1 species
GCCGAUGUGGCGGAAUUGGUAGACGCAGUAGAUUCAAAAUCUACCUUUGCUUGCAAAAUGCCGGUUCGAUUCCGGUCAUCGGCA